rnacentral:rRNA from 1 species
GACGAACGCUGGCGGCGUGCUUAACACAUGCAAGUCGAACGGAAAGGCCCUGCUUGCAGGGUACUCGAGUGGCGAACGGGUGAGUAACACGUGGGUGAUCUGCCCUGCACUUCGGGAUAAGCCUGGGAAACUGGGUCUAAUACCGGAUAGGAGCCAUUUUUAGUGUGAUGGUUGGAAAGUUUUUUUCGGUGUAGGAUGAGCUCGCGGCCUAUCAGCUUGUUGGUGGGGUAAUGGCCUACCAAGGCGGCGACGGGUAGCCGGCCUGAGAGGGUGGACGGCCACAUUGGGACUGUGAUACGGCCCAGACUCCUACGGGAGGCAGCAGUGGGGAAUAUUGCACAAUGGGCGCAAGCCUGAUGCAGCGACGCCGCGUGGGGGAUGACGGCCUUCGGGUUGUAAACUCCUUUCGCUAGGGACGAAGCUUUUUGUGACGGUACCUAGAUAAGAAGCACCGGCUAACUACGUG